rnacentral:rRNA from 1 species
UCAACGAGUCGGGUUGUUUGGGAAUGCAGCCCAAAUCGGGAGGUAGACUCCGUCCAAUGCUAAAUACAGGCGAGAGACCGAUAGCGAACAAGUACCGCGAGGGAAAGAUGAAAAGGACUUUGAAAAGAGAGUCAAAGAGUGCUUGAAAUUGCCGGGAGGGAAGCGGAUGGGGGCCGGCGAUGCGCCCCGGCCGUAUGCGGAACGGCUCUUGCUGGUCCGCCGCUCGGCUCGGGGUGUGGACUGUUGUCGGCCGCGCCGGCGGCCAAAGCCCGGGGGCCCUAGGUGCCCCCGGUGGCCGUCGUCGGCACGGCCGGUACCCGCGCGCCUAAAGGCGUGUCCCUCGGGGCACUGCGCUGCAACGGCCUGCGGGCUCCCCAU